AACGAACGCUGGCGGCAGGCCUAACACAUGCAAGUCGAGCGCGCCUUCGGGCGAGCGGCGGACGGGUUAGUAACGCGUGGGAACGUGCCCAGAUCUACGGAAUAGCCACUGGAAGCGGUGAGUAAUACCGUAUACGCCCUUAGGGGGAAAGAUUUAUCGGAUUUGGAUCGGCCCGCGUUAGAUUAGGUAGUUGGUGGGGUAACGGCCUACCAAGCCUACGAUCUAUAGCUGGUUUUAGAGGAUGAUCAGCAACACUGGGACUGAGACACGGCCCAGACUCCUACGGGAGGCAGCAGUGGGGAAUCUUGGACAAUGGGGGAAACCCUGAUCCAGCCAUGCCGCGUGAGUGAAGAAGGCCCUAGGGUCGUAAAACUCUUUCGCCUGUGAUGAUAAUGACAGUAGCAGGUAAAGAAACCCCGGCUAACUCCGUGCCAGCAGCCGCGGUAAUACGGAGGGGGUUAGCGUUGUUCGGAAUUACUGGGCGUAAAGCGCACGUAGGCGGAUUAGAAAGUUAGAGGUGAAAUCCCGGGGCUCAACCCCGGAACUGCCUUUAAAACUACUAGUCUAGAGUUCGAGAGAGGUGAGUGGAAUUCCGAGUGUAGAGGUGAAAUUCGUAGAUAUUCGGAGGAACACCAGUGGCGAAGGCAGCUCACUGGCUCGAUACUGACGCUGAGGUGCGAAAGUGUGGGGAGCAAACAGGAUUAGAUACCCUGGUAGUCCACACCGUAAACGAUGAAUGCCAGUCGUCGGGUAGUAUACUAUUCGGUGACACACCUAACGGAUUAAGCAUUCCGCCUGGGGAGUACGGUCGCAAGAUUAAAACUCAAAGGAAUUGACGGGGGCCCGCACAAGCGGUGGAGCAUGUGGCUUAAUUCGAAGCAACGCGCAGAACCUUACCAACCCUUGACAUACUCGUCGUCGCUCCAGAGAUGGAGCUUUCAGCUAGGCUGGACGAGAUACAGGUGCUGCAUGGCUGUCGUCAGCUCGUGUCGUGAGAUGUUCGGUUAAGUCCGGCAACGAGCGCAACCCACAUCCCUAGUUGCCAGCAGGUUAAGCUGGGCACUCUAUGGAAACUGCCCGUGAUAAGCGGGAGGAAGGUGUGGAUGACGUCAAGUCCUCAUGGCCCUUACGGGUUGGGCUACACACGUGCUACAAUGGCACUUACAGUGGGUUAAUCCCCAAAAGGUGUCUCAGUUCGGAUUGUCGUCUGCAACUCGACGGCAUGAAGUCGGAAUCGCUAGUAAUCGCGUAACAGCAUGACGCGGUGAAUACGUUCCCGGGCCUUGUACACACCGCCCGUCACACCAUGGGAGUUGGUUCUACCCGACGGCCGUGCGCUAACUUAUGAGGCAGCGGACCACGGUGGGAUCAGCGACUGGGGUGAAGUCGUAACAAGGUAGCCGUAGGGGAACCUGCGGCUGGAUCACCUCCUUUCUAAGGAUGAUUUUAGUAGAUUGGCUUGCCAUUCUCGUAAAUCACUUAGCAGUCUCUUUAAGAGGCAAAUAUAAUCAAACUGUCCUCAUAUCUCUUCUUUUGCUAACACGGGCUACCGCCCGUAUGGGUCGGUAGCUCAGGUGGUUAGAGCGCACGCCUGAUAAGCGUGAGGUCGGAGGUUCAAGUCCUCCUCGACCCACCAUGAAUAUUAAUUAUUUUGGGGCCUUAGCUCAGCUGGGAGAGCGCCUGAUUUGCAUUCAGGAGGUCAGGAGUUCGAUCCUCCUAGGCUCCACCAAAAAUUCUGUGUUCUAUAUCUAAUUUGAUCGCUAAACAGAUUAUUCUGUUUAGCCGUCCGAUUGGACGAGUGCCAUAGAGGCAUUUUACAUCGUGAAGAGAGAUACAAUAUCAACACUAUUUGGUGCAUAUAAGUAAGUAUGUAACCUCAGUACUGUGAAACAGAUUUAUCUGUGGACAGCUUUUGGAAUAGGUCUUUUCCUCGACCUCCCUUAAGUUUGCUUGCUGAAAAGAAUAGAGUUGUCCAAGUCAAGUACACUAACUUAAUCAUUCCUUUUGGAAUGAUGGGAAAGUAAAUUUUAAUGACUUUUGGUCUAGAAAGAAGGCCUAUGUGAACCAGCGUAGGUUGUCAGUUAAGUCUGAUUUUUUCUGGAUCAAAUCAAGCGCGAAAAGGGCGUUUGGUGAAUGCCUUGGCAGUAAGAGGCGAUGAAGGACGUGAUACUCUGCGAUAAGCUAUGGUAAGCCGAGAAUAGGCUCUGAACCAUAGAUCU
rnacentral:rRNA from 1 species